rnacentral:rRNA from 1 species
AGAGUUUGAUCCUGGCUCAGGAUGAACGCUGGCGGCGUGCCUAACACAUGCAAGUCGAGCGAUUCUCUUCGGAGAAGAGCGGCGGACGGGUGAGUAACGCGUGGGUAACCUGCCCUGUACACACGGAUAACAUACCGAAAGGUAUGCUAAUACGGGAUAACAUAAGAAAUUCGCAUGUUUUUCUUAUCAAAGCUCCGGCGGUACAGGAUGGACCCGCGUCUGAUUAGCUAGUUGGUGAGGUAAUAGCUCACCAAGGCGACGAUCAGUAGCCGACCUGAGAGGGUGAUCGGCCACAUUGGAACUGAGACACGGUCCAAACUCCUACGGGAGGCAGCAGUGGGGAAUAUUGCACAAUGGGCGAAAGCCUGAUGCAGCAACGCCGCGUGAGCGAUGAAGGCCUUCGGGUCGUAAAGCUCUGUCCUCAAGGAAGAUAAUGACGGUACUUGAGGAGGAAGCCCCGGCUAACUACGUGCCAGCAGCCGCGGUAAUACGUAGGGGGCUAGCGUUAUCCGGAUUUACUGGGCGUAAAGGGUGCGUAGGCGGUCUUUUAAGUCAGGAGUGAAAGGCUACGGCUCAACCGUAGUAAGCUCUUGAAACUGGAGGACUUGAGUGCAGGAGAGGAGAGUGGAAUUCCUAGUGUAGCGGUGAAAUGCGUAGAUAUUAGGAGGAACACCAGUAGCGAAGGCGGCUCUCUGGACUGUAACUGACGCUGAGGCACGAAAGCGUGGGGAGCAAACAGGAUUAGAUACCCUGGUAGU